AUUGAACGCUGGCGGUAGGCCUAACACAUGCAAGUCGAACGGCAACACAGUAAGAGCUUGCUCUUACGGGUGGCGAGUCGCGGACGGGUGAGGAAUACAUCGGAAUCUACUUUUUCGUGGGGGAUCACGUAGGGAAACUUACGCUAAUACCGCAUACGCCCUACGGGUGAAAGCAGGGGAUCUUCGGGCCUUGCGCGAUUGAAUGAGCCGAUGUCGGAUUAGCUAGUUGGCGGGGUAAAGGCCCACCAAGGCGACGCUCCGUAGCUGGUCUGAGAGGAUGAUCAGCCACACUGGAACUGAGACACGGUCCAGACUCCUACGGGAGGCAGCAGUGGGGAAUAUUGGACAAUGGGCGCAAGCCUGAUCCAGCCAUGCCGCGUGGGUGAAGAAGGCCUUCGGGUUGUAAAGCCCUUUUGUUGGGAAAGAAAAGCAGCAGGUUAAUACCCCGCUGUUCUGACGGUACCCAAAGAAUAAGCACCGGCUAACUUCGUG
rnacentral:rRNA from 1 species